UUUCCACCACAGGGCACGGCAUGGCUGAUGGGUUUCCACCAGGAGGGCUGCUGAGCGGAGGGGGAGUGCAGACGGGGGAUCUCACAGCCUCGGGUGCUGCUUGCAGGAAGCGGAUGAAGGUGCUCACAAGCUAAGUGGAUUAAGCCUGACUAACGUCAGUUCAAAAAUAGGAGCUGCAGCCUGACAGAAAGGUCUGGGGAAGUGAUGUUAUUUGUUGAUGAACCAUGCCAAGCACCAGGAGGAUGUGAGGGAGGGUCUGGACUCGCCAGCGUUUCCUAUGCGGGCUGCAGACACAGUCUGGG
rnacentral:lncRNA from 1 species